GACGAACGCUGGCGGCGUGCCUAAUACAUGCAAGUUGAGCGCUGAAGGUUGGUACUUGUACCAACUGGGUGAGCAGCGAACGGGUGAGUAACGCGUGGGUAAUCUGCCUUUGAGCGGGGGACAACAUUUGGAAACGAAUGCUAAUACCGCAUAAAAACUUUAAACACAAGUUUUAAGUUUGAAAGAUGCAAUUGCAUCACUCAAAGAUGAUCCCGCGUUGUAUUAGCUAGUUGGUGAGGUAAAGGCUCACCAAGGCGAUGAUACAUAGCCGACCUGAGAGGGUGGAUGGCCCAAUUGGGAAUGGGACACGGCCCAAACUCCUACGGGGGGCAGCAGGAGGGAAUCUUCGGGAAUGGACGAAAGGCUGACCGAGCAACGCCGCGGGAGUGAAGGAGGUUCUCGGAUCGUAAAACUCUGUUGGUAGAGAAGAACGUUGGUGGGAGUGGAAAGCGCAUCAAGUGACGGUAACUAACCAGAAAGGGACGGCUAACUACGUG
rnacentral:rRNA from 1 species